GUGCCAGCAGCCGCGGUAAUACGGAAGGUCCGGGCGUUAUCCGGAUUUAUUGGGUUUAAAGGGAGCGCAGGCCGAAGGUUAAGCGUGACGUGAAAUGUAGCCGCUCAACGGCUGAACUGCGUCGCGAACUGGCUUUCUUGAGUGAGUUCGAUGUGGGCGGAAUUCGUGGUGUAGCGGUGAAAUGCUUAGAUAUCACGAAGAACUCCGAUUGCGAAGGCAGCCCACAAGGCCUUUACUGACGCUAAAGCUCGAAGGUGCGGGUAUCGAACAGGAUUAGAUACCCUGGUAGUCCGCACGGUAAACGAUGGAUGCCCGCUGUUUGCGAUAUACUGUGAGCGGCCAAGAGAAAUCGUUAAGCAUCCCACCUGGGGAGUACGCCGGCAACGGUGAAACUCAAAGGAAUUGACGGGGGCCCGCACAAGCGGAGGAACAUGUGGUUUAAUUCGAUGAUACGCGAGGAACCUUACCCGGGCUUGAACUGCCAGAGAACGAUUCAGAGAUGAUGAGGCCCUUCGGGGCUCUGGUGGAGGUGCUGCAUGGUUGUCGUCAGCUCGUGCCGUGAGGUGUCGGCUUAAGUGCCAUAACGAGCGCAACCCUUUUCUUUAGUUGCCAUCAGGUGAUGCUGGGCACUCUGAAGAUACUGCCACCGUAAGGUGUGAGGAAGGUGGGGAUGACGUCAAAUCAGCACGGCCCUUACGUCCGGGGCUACACACGUGUUACAAUGGGGGGUACAGAGAGUCAGGUGCCGGCAACGUCGCCUUAAUCAGAAAAGCCCUCCUCAGUUCGGAUUGGGGUCUGCAACCCGACCCCAUGAAGCUGGAUUCGCUAGUAAUCGCGCAUCAGCCAUGGCGCGGUGAAUACGUUCCCGGGCCUUGCACACACCGCCCGU
rnacentral:rRNA from 1 species